rnacentral:rRNA from 1 species
AUUGAACGCUGGCGGCAUGCCUUACACAUGCAAGUCGAACGGUAACAGGUCUUCGGAUGCUGACGAGUGGCGAACGGGUGAGUAAUACAUCGGAACGUGCCUAGUAGUGGGGGAUAACUACUCGAAAGAGUGGCUAAUACCGCAUGAGAUCUACGGAUGAAAGCAGGGGAUCGCAAGACCUUGUGCUACUAGAGCGGCCGAUGGCAGAUUAGGUAGUUGGUGGGAUAAAAGCUUACCAAGCCGACGAUCUGUAGCUGGUCUGAGAGGACGUUCAGCCACACUGGGACUGAGACACGGCCCAGACUCCUACGGGAGGCAGCAGUGGGGAAUUUUGGACAAUGGGCGAAAGCCUGAUCCAGCAAUGCCGCGUGCAGGAUGAAGGCCUUCAGGUUGUAAACUGCUUUUGUACGGAACGAAAAGCCCCGGGUUAAUACCUUGGGGUCAUGACGGUACCGUAAGAAUAAGCACCGGCUAACUACGUGCCAGCAGCCGCCGUAA